UACAGAGGUCCCAAGCGUUGUUCGGAUUCAUUGGGCGUAAAGGGUGCGUAGGCGGCGCGGUAAGUCGGGUGUGAAAUCUUGGAGCUUAACUCCGAAACUGCAUUCGAUACUGCCGUGCUUGAGGACUGGAGAGGAGACUGGAAUUUACGGUGUAGCGGUGAAAUGCGUAGAUAUCGUAAGGAAGACCAGUGGCGAAGGCGGUUCUCUGGGCAUGUCCUGACGCUGAGGAGCGAAAGCGUGGGGAGCAAACAGG
rnacentral:rRNA from 1 species